AGGGGAAGAGGAUGAGAUGAAGAAGACAGUAGUAGGAGAAGAGGAGGAGGUGGAGACAGUAGGGGAAGAGGAUGAGAUGAAGAAGACAGUAGUAGGAGAAGAGGAGGAGGUGGAGACAGUAGGGGAAGAGGAUGAGAUGGGGAGGUGAAGACAGUAGUAGGAGAUGGAGAUGGGAGGUGGAGACAGUAGGAGAAGAGGGGGAGAUGUGAGGUGGAGACAGUAGGAGAAGAGAAGGAGAUGGGAGGUGGAGACAGUAGGAGAAGAGAAGGAGAUGGGAGGUAGAGACAGUAGGAGAAGAGGAGGA
ensembl:lncRNA